UGGAGUUAAUCACUGGACAUGUAGAAACCGAACGUCAGCAGAAUCCAUGGGAGUGUACAGAGCUGGGUCAACAUGAAGUUAAUCACUGGACAUGUAGAAACCGAACGUCAGCAGAAUCCAUGGGAGUGUACAGAGCUGGGUCAACAUGGAGUUAAUCACUAGACAUGUAAAACCGAACGUAAGCAGAAUCCAUGGGAGUGUACAGAGCUGGGUCAACAUGGAGUUAAUCACUAGACAUGUAAAACAGAACGAAACACCUAUCCCACCCCCCUCCUCCCUCUCCCUCCGACCGUCCUCCCCCUUCACGCUCCCGAGGGCCCCAGGUCGUGCCUUUCCCGGUAGCGCCUUACUGCAGGGUAUGAAGAGGUUGUCUGUGCUGCUGGUGGACUACAGGAAAACAACAGGGCUGAGGGACAGCCGUAACCGUCGCUCUCUCAGUAGAAGAGUCAUAUCUGGGGAGGCUAACGAACAUGAUGCUGACGAGGCAGAGAACAGUCUCUCCAGAUCAGAACACCUCAAACACCAGCAGAGAGUUGCAGGGAAGAAACCUCACCGCUGCUCUGACUGUGGAAAGAGUUUCACCUCUUCGGCAAAACUUAAAACACACCAGAGAAUUCAUACUGAAGAGAAACCUUAUAGCUCUUCAGACUGUAGGAUAAGUAUUUUGCAACUAGGAAACUUAACAAAACACCAGCUGACCCACACAGGAGAGAAACCUUUUAGCUGUGGUCAAUGUGGGAGGAGAUUCACGAAGUCAGGAGCCCUGACAGUUCACCAACGAAUACACACAGGAGAAAAAACCGUUUCACUGCACAGACUGUGGGAAGAGUUUUGUUCAAUUAGGCAACCUGAAAAUUCAUCUGCGGACACACACACAAGAGAAGCCUUACCACUGCUUUGUCUGUGAGAAGAGCUUUUCAACAUCACAGGGUAAUAAAGUGCACCAGAGAACGCACACCGGAGAGAAGCCUUACCACUGCUCUGACUGUGGGAAAAGUUUUGCUCAUUCAAGAAAUCUGAUAAAGCACCAGCGCAUACACACAGGAGAGAAACCUUACAGCUGUGAUCAAUGUGGGAAGAGAUUUACUAGCUCAAACGACAUGAUAAUACACCGUAGAACACACACUGGAGAGAAGCCUUACCACUGUUCAGACUGCGGGAAGAGUUUUACUCAGGCAAGCAACCUGAAAACACACCAGCGCAGACACCUGGGCCAGAAGCUUCACCACUGUUCAGAUUGUGGAAGUAACUUUUCAACAUCAAGGGGUUUAGAGCUGCACCAGCGAACACACACAGGUGUGAAACCUUACUACUGCUUCAGCUGUAGUAAAAGUUUUGCUAGAUUAGACGGACUGACAGUGCACCAGCGAACACACACAGGUGAGAAGCCUUUUAGCUGUGAUCAGUGUGGGAAGAGAUUUGCUCAGUCAGCACACUUGACUGUACACCAGAGAACACACACUGGAGAGAAACCAUACCACUGCUCAGACUGUGGAAUAAGCUUUAUUAAUUCAAAUCACCUUAAGGUACAUCAGAGAGUACACACAGGAGAGAGGCCUUAUAACUGUGAUGUAUGUGGCAAAAGUUUUGUUACAUCAGGAAGUCUGGCUUCACACCUUCGAACCCACACAGGAGAGAAGCGUUACCAUUGUACCGACUGUGGGACACGCUUUGGCAAGUCAGACCAUUUAAAAGUGCACCAGAGAACACACACAGGAGAGAAGCCUUACCAUUGUGCCGACUGUGGGAAAAGCUUUGCUGGGUCAGGCAGUUUAAAGUCACACCAGAGAACACACACCGGAGAGAAGCCUUACCACUGCUCUGACUGCGGAAUGGGCUUAACCACUUCAGGUGGACUUAAAAUACACCGGAGAACACACACAGGAGAAAACCAUUCCACUGCUCUGACUGUGGGAAAAGAUUUAAUCAGGCUGGGCAGUUGGUUUUACACCAGCGAAUACACACUGGCGAAAAGCCUUACCACUGCUCAGACUGUGGGCUGAGUUGUACUUCUUUAGGGGAUUUAAAAGUGCACCUGCGAACACACAC